rnacentral:rRNA from 1 species
GACGAACGCUGGCGGCGUGCUUAACACAUGCAAGUCGAACGGAAAGGCCCUGCUUUUGUUGGGUGCUCGAGUGGCGAACGGGUGAGUAACACGUGAGUAACCUGCCCUUGACUUUGGGAUAACUUCAGGAAACUGGGGCUAUUACCGGAUAGGAGCUCCUGCUGCACGGUGGGGGUUGGAAAGUUUCGGCGGUUGGGGAUGGACUCGCUGCUUAUCCGCUUCUUUGUGGGGUAGUUGCUUACCAAGGCUUUGACGGAUAGCCUGCCUGAGAGGGUGGCCGGCCACAUUGGGACUGAGAGACGGACCAGACGCCAACGGGAGGCAGCAGUGGAGAGUAUUGCACAAUGGGCGGGAGCGUGAUGCAGCAACGCCGCGUGCGGGAUGACGGCCUUCGGGUUGUAAACCGCUUUCGCCUGUGACGAAGCGUGAGUGACGGUAAUGGGUAAAGAAGCACCGGCUAACUACGUG